CCUUCGAUAGCUCAGUUGGUAGAGCGGUGGACUGUAGAUGAUCAGUAGUUGAAGUUGUGUUACAACAGAAAUCCAUAGGUCGCUGGUUCAAAUCCGGCUCGAAGGA
rnacentral:tRNA from 1 species